CUGCACAUCUAUUGCAAUCUUUUAUAUCAUUUGCUAAAAAUCAAUUUCAACCUUCAAUCAAAAUAAUCAGGACAUACAAUGGCACAGAAUUUGAGCCCAUGAAAAAAAAAAUUCACUCAUGGAAUCGAAUGCCAACAUACUUGUGUCUCAACUCACCAAAAAAAUGGAGUAGUUGAACGCAAGCAUCGUCAUAUCUUAAAUGUCGCAAGAGCUUUACGCUUUUAGGCUCACUUGUCAAUCACCUUUUGGGGUGAAUGUGUGUUGACUAUUGUCUACCUCUUUAAUCUAUUACGAACCCCAUUGUUACAUUCUAAGUCGCCUUACGAAUUGUUUCAUCAUCGAUCACCAUCACUUAGUCACCUAAAGUUUUGGGUUGUUUGUGCUACGCAACUGUUAUUCAACAUAAACAAAAUUUUGAUUCUCGAGCCAAACGCUGCAUCUUUGUUAGUUAUCCUACCGGUCAAAAAGGUUACAAGCUUUAUGAUCUAUAAAGCAAACAUUUUUUUGUUAGUCAUGAUGUCAAAUUUUCUGAAACUAUCUUUCCAUUCAGUUCAGCAACACAAACUCCUACUUUAGAGUCACCUCAAUCCUCUAUUGGCAUAAUAGAUAAUUGGCCUUCUCCACUAUAUUUCAUUAAAAAUGUUCCAUCUUCUCAACCUCAACCCAUUGAACCAGCAGAAUCUCAAGAACCUAGCAUCACAGAGAAUAUCUUUAUCAGUCCUACCCAAUCUGAGACUAUAGCAGAUAACAACCAUGACAAUUCCAGCCAACUCGUUCAAAACCCAACACUCGAAGAGCCCAAUGAACCUGUUUCAAUCACUUCAGAUGUUGUAGUUCCUUCUUCUCCUCAUCUAAGGCAAUCUAUUCGUGAAAAAAAUCCACCAAGAUGCCAUAAAGACUACAUAGUAUUAGCUCAAGCCAGUCACUCUUCUACUACGCCAAGUUCGGCAACAGGCUAUCCUUGAUCCACAUUGGCAACAAGCUAUGAAUACAGAAUUAGAAGUGUUAAAAAAAAUAAGACUUGGAGCUUAGUUUCACUUCCUGCCGGUCAAAAGCACAUUGGUUACAAAUAGGUUUAUAAAAUCAAAUACAAAUCAGACAGAAUAAUCGAGCAUUAUAAGGAUCGUCUUGUCUCAAAGAGGUAUACUCAGGUUGAGGGAAUUGAUUAUGAAGAAAUAUUUUCUCCUACAGCAAAACUCACGACACUCUAUUGUCUUCUUAGAGUUGUUUCUGCCAGAAAUUGGUUCGCCUAUCUGUUGGAUGUCCAAAAUGCUUUUCUUCAUAGGACCUACAUGAAGAGAUACUUAUGGAGAUUCCACCAGACCUUCACCGAUAGGGGGAGAACACUGUAUGUCGGCUCCACAAGUCCCUUUAUGGCCUUAAAGAAGCAUCAAGAAAUUGGUUUCUCACUUUUUCAGAAAUUAUUGAUAAAGCUGGUUAUCAAUAAUCAAAGGCUGAUUAUUCCUUUUUCAGCAAGGCCAAAGAUUCAGGUGCUUCAGGUCCUGCUUGCGAGGGUUGAGAUAGCUUCCUGCAGAUUUUGGGAUUCACUAGGUAGCUACCGGCGUUCGCAGCCCAAUGCUUCUCCCUCUAUUUUAUUUCCUUCUGUCUUAAUUAUGUAAUAGUUGACUAGACUCUUUCAGACUUGUAGUAUUAUUAUAGAUGCCCAUGACUGGUGACACCCUGA